rnacentral:tRNA from 1 species
GCCCCCAUAGCUCAACUGGAUAGAGUGAACGGCUUCGAACCGUUAGGUUGCAGGUUCAAGUCCUGCUGGGGGCG